AGUGAACGCUGGCGGUAGGCCUAACACAUGCAAGUCGAACGGCAGCACAGUAAGAGCUUGCUCUUACGGGUGGCGAGUGGCGGGCGGGUGAGGAAUACAUCGGAAUCUACUUUUUCGUGGGGGAUAACGUAGGGAAACUUACGCUAAUACCGCAUACGACCUACGGGUGAAAGCAGGGGAUCUUCGGACCUUGCGCGAUUCAAUGAGCCGAUGUCGGAUUAGCUAGUUGGCGGGGUAAAGGCCCACCAAGGCGACGAUCCGUAGCUGGUCUGAGAGGAUGAUCAGCCACACUGGAACUGAGACACGGUCCAGACUCCUACGGGAGGCAGCAGUGGGGAAUAUUGGACAAUGGGCGCAAGCCUGAUCCAGCCAUACCGCGUGGGUGAAGAAGGCCUUCGGGUUGUAAAGCCCUUUUGUUGGGAAAGAAAAGCAGCAGGUUAAUACCCCGCUGUUCUGACGGUACCCAAAGAAUAAGCACCGGCUAACUUCGUG
rnacentral:rRNA from 1 species